rnacentral:rRNA from 1 species
CAGCAGCCGCGGUAAUACGUAGGGUGCGAGCGUUAAUCGGAAUUACUGGGCGUAAAGCGUGCGCAGGCGGUUUUGUAAGACAAGCGUGAAAUCCCCGGGCUCAACCUGGGAAUGGCGCUUGUGACUGCAAAGCUAGAGUGCGGCAGAGGGGGAUGGAAUUCCGCGUGUAGCAGUGAAAUGCGUAGAAAUGCGGAGGAACACCGAUGGCGAAGGCAAUCCCCUGGGCCUGCACUGACGCUCAUGCACGAAAGCGUGGGGAGCAAACAGGAUUAGAUACCCGCGUAGUCCCUGUCUCUUAUAC